CCUAAGGUAGCGAAAUUCCUUGUCGGGUAAGUUCCGACCUGCACGAAUGGCGUAAUGAUGGCCAGGCUGUCUCCACCCGAGACUCAGUGAAAUUGAACUCGCUGUGAAGAUGCAGUGUACCCGCGGCAAGACGGAAAGACCCCGUGAACCUUUACUAUAGCUUGACACUGAACACUGGUCCUUGAUGUGUAGGAUAGGUGGGAGGCUUUGAAGCGUGGACGCCAGUCUGCGUGGAGCCAACCUUGAAAUACCACCCUUUAAUGGCUGGUGUUCUAACGUAGACCCGUAAUCCGGGUUGCGGACAGUGUCUGGUGGGUAGUUUGACUGGGGCGGUCUCCUCCCAAAGAGUAACGGAGGAGCACGAAGGUUAGCUAAUCCUGGUCGGACAUCAGGAGGUUAGUGCAAUGGCAUAAGCUAGCUUGACUGCGAGAGUGACGGCUCGAGCAGGUGCGAAAGCAGGUCAUAGUGAUCCGGUGGUUCUGAAUGGAAGGGCCAUCGCUCAACGGAUAAAAGGUACUCCGGGGAUAACAGGCUGAUACCGCCCAAGAGUUCAUAUCGACGGCGGUGUUUGGCACCUCGAUGUCGGCUCAUCACAUCCUGGGGCUGAAGUAGGUCCCAAGGGUAUGGCUGUUCGCCAUUUAAAGUGGUACGCGAGCUGGGUUUAGAACGUCGUGAGACAGUUCGGUCCCUAUCUGCCGUGGGCGCUGGAGAAUUGAGGGGGGCUGCUCCUAGUACGAGAGGACCGGAGUGGACGCAUCACUGGUGUUCGGGUUGUCAUGCCAAUGGCACUGCCCGGUAGCUAAAUGCGGAAGAGAUAAGUGCUGAAAGCAUCUAAGCACGAAACUUGCCCCGAGAUGAGUUCUCCCUGAGACUUAAAGUCUCCUGAAGGAACGUUGAAGACGACGACGUUGAUAGGUCGGGUGUGUAAGCGCAGCGAUGCGUUGAGCUAACCGAUACUAAUGAACCGUGAGGCUUAACCUUACAACGCCGAAG
rnacentral:rRNA from 1 species